UACGUAGGUGACAAGCGUUGUUCGGAUUUACUGGGCGUAAAGAGCGCGUAGGCGGUCGUUCAAGUCGAGUGUGAAAGCCCCCGGCUCAACUGGGGAGGGUCAUUCGAUACUGAUCGACUCGAAGGCAGGAGAGGGUAGUGGAAUUCCCGGUGUAGUGGUGAAAUGCGUAGAUAUCGGGAGGAACACCAGUGGCGAAAGCGGCUACCUGGCCCAUUCUUGACGCUGAGGCGCGAAAGCUAGGGGAGCAAACGGG
rnacentral:rRNA from 1 species